rnacentral:rRNA from 1 species
GACGAACGCUGGCGGCGUGCCUAAUACAUGCAAGUAGAACGCUGAAGAGAGGAGCUUGCUCUUCUUGAAUGAGUUGCGAACGGGUGAGUAACGCGUAGGUAACCUGCCUUGUAGCGGGGGAUAACUAUUGGAAACGAUAGCUAAUACCGCAUAACAAUGGGUGACACAUGUCAUUUAUUUGAAAGGGGCAAUUGCUCCACUACAAGAUGGACCUGCGUUGUAUUAGCUAGUAGGUGAGGUAACGGCUCACCUAGGCGACGAUACAUAGCCGACCUGAGAGGGUGAUCGGCCACACUGGGACUGAGACACGGCCCAGACUCCUACGGGAGGAAGCAGUGAGGAAUAUUGGACAAUGGGUGAGAGCCUGAUCCAGCCAUCCCGCGUGAAGGAUGACGGUCCUAUGGAUUGUAAACUUCUUUUGUACAGGGAUAAACCUACUCUCGUGAGGGUAGCUGAAGGUACUGUACGAAUAAGCACCGGCUAACUCCGUG